GAUGAACGCUGGCGGCGUGCCUAAUACAUGCAAGUCGAGCGAACGGACGAGAAGCUUGCUUCUCUGAUGUUAGCGGCGGACGGGUGAGUAACACGUGGAUAACCUACCUAUAAGACUGGGAUAACUUCGGGAAACCGGAGCUAAUACCGGAUGAUAUUUUGAACCGCAUGGUUCAAAAGUGAAAGACGGUCUUGCUGUCACUUAUAGAUGGAUCCGCGCUGCAUUAGCUAGUUGGUAAGGUAACGGCUUACCAAGGCAACGAUGCAUAGCCGACCUGAGAGGGUGAUCGGCCACACUGGAACUGAGACACGGUCCAGACUCCUACGGGAGGCAGCAGUAGGGAAUCUUCCGCAAUGGGCGGAAGCCUGACGGAGCGACGCCGCGUGAGUGAUGAAGAUCUUCGGAUCGUAAAACUCUGUUAUUAGGGAAGAACAUAUGUGUAAGUAGCUGUGCACAUCUUGACGGUACCUAAUCAGAAAGCCACGGCUAACUACGUG
rnacentral:rRNA from 1 species